GACGAACGCUGGCGGCGUGCUUAACACAUGCAAGUCGAACGGAAAGGCCCUGCUUUUGUGGGGUGCUCGAGUGGCGAACGGGUGAGUAACACGUGAGUAACCUGCCCUUGACUUUGGGAUAACUUCAGGAAACUGGGGCUAAUACCGGAUAGGAGCUCCUGCUGCAUGGUGGGGGUUGGAAAGUUUCGGCGGUUGGGGAUGGACUCGCGGCUUAUCAGCUUGUUGGUGGGGUAGUGGCUUACCAAGGCUUUGACGGGUAGCCGGCCUGAGAGGGUGACCGGCCAAAUUGGGACGGAGAUACGGCCCAGACUACAACGGGAGGCAGCAGUGGGGAAUAUUGCACAAUGGGAGGAAGCAUGAUGCAGCAACGCAGCGUGCGGGAUGACGGCCUUCGGGUAGUAAACCGAUUUCGCCUGUGACGAAGCGUGAGUGACGGUAAUGGGUAAAGAAGCACCGGCUAACUACGUG
rnacentral:rRNA from 1 species